GACAUGGGGGUGAGUAAAUUAUCAGCAAAAGUUUUUUUUAAAAGUGAACUACUCCUUUAAUUUACAGUAGUGGUGUGUAAUGUGUAAUAUGCUGUGAAUAUGAUGUUUGUGUGUUUAGAACAAUAUUUGUAUUUCUAUAUGUGUUUUUAUAAAAAGUUAUUUGUUAUUUAGCAGAUGCUUUCUUGCCCAAAGCAACCUCUUAUACAGGACAGGCAGUCUGGAAGUGACCUGGAGUGAAGGGAUAUGCUCCGUGGAAUAAAAGAAAAAACAGAGGCCUUUCACACCUCUAGACUCCAAAGGGAUCGACGCAGGUUUGGAUCGUGUCACUAAGCCACCAUUCAUCCCCUCUGAACGUGUGCGCGGCAUGAUAGCGGGUCUGCUGGGAUGGGUUGUAGGCUAAUUCCUUCUUGUUCCUCACCCUUUUGGCAGCUGUUUGGAUCCCUGGAGGAAGUUCACCUGUAAACUCCUGUUACACAGCAUCGAAUACGGCUCUACAACAUCUGCUCAGCCACAAUAGUGAUUUUAAAGUAGGAUUUCAAAUAGCAACUGUGAGACAUGAGAUGCUGCAUUUAAAUGUUUUUUAUAGUUAUGAACUAAAGUAUCUUAGCCAUGAUAAAACCACUGUAAUGCACAGGCUCAAAAAGCUUCACAGCGAUUUACUAAAUAGCAUUAUUAUUUACAUUUACAUCAAAUAUUUACAUAAUCUACAAGAAGUAUUGUCAAUUCACCGCAAAAUAAUUGUUCAUUAGCUGUAUGCAAUAUUAAUGUCAAAUAGGAACAAAAAUCGUUGUCAGUGACAAACCAAUAGACAAUGUCAAUUAAAUAAAAAAUUGUAUUAAUCAAAUUAUAUUUUCAUUGACUUAAAUUA